GUAUGUGAGGGUGAUCUGGCUGUGACAUCUGUCACCCCAUUGAUCGCCAGGGUUGACUCGGCUGAUCUGGCUGGCUAGGCGGGUGUUCCCUUCCUCCCUCACCACUCCAUGUGCGUCCCUCCCCGAAGCUGCACGCUCCGUCGAAGAGGAUGACCUUCCCCGAAUAGAGGAGGACCGGUCUUUGGUCAAGGGUCUACGAGUAGCUGCGCUUCUCUGCUAGAACCUCCAAACAAGCUCUAAAGAAGGAGAAAUAAAUGAAGUUGAAGGUAUUUUUACAAAGUAUUUCUAUUUUCAAGCAGGAUAUAUCACU
rnacentral:snRNA from 1 species